rnacentral:miRNA from 1 species
GUGUAUGUAUAUGUGUGUGUGUGUGUGUGUGUGUGUAUACACACACAUACACACACACAUAUAUAUACAC